GAUGAAGAACGCAGCGAAAUGCGAUAAGUAAUGUGAAUUGCAGAAUUCAGUGAACCAUCGAAUCUUUGAACGCACAUUGCGCCCGGCAGUAAUCUGCCGGGCAUGCCUGUCCGAGCGUCAUUUCUGCCCUCGAGCGAGUCCAGCAUCUAGGUGCUGGGCCCGCCCGGCGUUGGGGCACUACGGGAAGCCCUGUGCUGUCCCCCGUAGGCCCCGAAAUGAAGUGGCGGUCCUGCCGCGGCGCCCCCUGCGUAGUAUAACAGCUCGCUUCGGGACCCGGUGGAGGCCUGCCGUCAAACCUUACUCUCUAAGUUUGACCUCGGAUCAGGUAGGGUUACCCGCUGAACUUAAGCAUAUCAAUAAGCGAAGGA
rnacentral:misc_RNA from 1 species